CAGGGAGGAACUGCCAGCAGA
rnacentral:miRNA from 1 species